AAGACUAUAGACCUGCGGAGUACCUGCGGAGGGAUCAUUCACAAUAAGUGUUUUAUGGCACUUUAAUUCCAUAUCCACCUUGUGUGCAACGUAGUUCGUUUUUCGAACAAAACAUCAACAUUUUAAUUAUCAACAGAUCGUCUGAAGUAUUAUAUGAAUAAAUCAAUUCAAAAUACAACUUUUAACAAUGGAUCUCU
rnacentral:misc_RNA from 1 species